CCUGAACUGCACAGAACUGAACGAGGGAAGCAGAGAGCCUUCAGAUUCUCCUUGUUUACUGGAAGCAACAGAAAUAAAUGGCUCCCAAGAAGAUAAAGGAAGACAAGAAACAGCCUAAGAUAAGCAGUUUUGUGAAGAAGGAAAAUG